AUGUACAAUCUUACAACAUAUCAUUAAUGCACUAGAUCCCAUUAGAACUUUGUAGUUAAGUACACUCAUGCUAUAAUAGUACUGGGAUGGGUGACCGCCCGGGAAGUCCUAGUAUUUUACAUU
rnacentral:rRNA from 1 species